AACAAGAAAAUGCCAAACGACCACACAGAUGAUUUGUUUAUAGUGAUCGGAUGUUUGUAUUCACAUAAGCUCACUCUCUCCAUCAAAUCGACAUUACCUGUUCAGGUGCACCGUGUGCCACAUGCCACCUUAUGAAAUGAUUGCAA